GAAGCCUCCAAGGAGGUGAACAACGACAUAAGCCGCUGCCGAUGCCCGCCCAACAACUGGACUGGGUUUUCACCCAAAAGUGGGGGGGGGGGGAAUCCACAAGACAACAUCUCUAGGGAGGAAACGGCACCCGCAGGCGUCGAUGUCGCCGAUCCUGGGAGACCAGGCAAGGCUUUCGCAUCGGACUCCCUUAAAGGAUGCAAGACAUCCACAAAACCAGAGCAAGAUAGCUCCGACUCCGCCUUAAGUACACAACAACUCUCUCACCUUAGAGGUAAGCAAACCGCUCCAAACUUGGCACUACAACAGGUUCACAUAGUCACAGGGUACUUGAAGCACCGGUGA
rnacentral:lncRNA from 1 species